rnacentral:rRNA from 1 species
UACAGAGGGGGCAAGCGUUAUUCGGAAUUAUUGGGCGUAAAGGGCGCGUAGGCGGCCAUUCAAGUGACGGGUGAAAGCCCUCGGCUUAACCGAGGAACUGCCUGUCAGACUGGAUGGCUUGAGACCGGGAGAGGUGAGUGGAAUUCCGAGUGUAGAGGUGAAAUUCGUAGAUAUUCGGAAGAACACCAGUGGCGAAGGCGGCUCACUGGACCGGUAUUGACGCUGAGGUGCGAAAGCGUGGGGAGCAAACAGG